rnacentral:rRNA from 1 species
UACAGAGGGUGCAAGCGUUAAUCGGAAUUACUGGGCGUAAAGCGUGCGUAGACGGUUAUGUAAGUCAGGUGUGAAAGCCCAGGGCUCAACCUUGGAAUUGCAUUUGAGACUGCAUAGCUAGGGUGCGGAAGAGGGAAGCGGAAUUUCCGGUGUAGCGGUGAAAUGCGUAGAUAUCGGAAGGAACACCAGUGGCGAAAGCGGCUUCCCUGGUCCAGCACCGACGUCAGGCACGAAAGCGUGGGGAGCAAACAGG